UACGAAGGGUGCAAACGUUGCUCGGAAUUAUUGGGCGUAAAGCGCACGUAGGCGGCUUUGCAAGUCGGAUGUGAAAGCCCUCGGCUCAACCAAGGAAGUGCAUCCGAAACUGCAGAGCUUGAGUACUUAAGAGGAUCGCGGAAUUCCCGGUGUAGAGGUGAAAUUCGUAGAUAUCGGGAGGAACACCAGUGGCGAAGGCGGCGAUCUGGGAAGAUACUGACGCUGAGGUGCGAAAGCGUGGGGAGCAAACAGG
rnacentral:rRNA from 1 species